rnacentral:rRNA from 1 species
CUCCAGACUCCUACGGGAGGCAGCAGUGGGGAAUAUUGCACAAUGGGGGGAACCCUGAUGCAGCGACGCCGCGUGGGUGAAGGAGUAUUUCGGUAUGUAAAGCCCUAUCAGCAGGGAAGAACAAUGACGGUACCUGACUAAGAAGCACCGGCUAAAUACGUGCCAGCAGCCGCGGUAAUACGUAUGGUGCAAGCGUUAUCCGGAUUUACUGGGUGUAAAGGGAGCGUAGGCGGGACUGCAAGUUGGGUGUCAAAUCUACCGGCUCAACCGGUAGCCGCACUCAAAACUGCAGUUCUUGAGUGAAGUAGAGGCAGGCGGAAUUCCUAGUGUAGCGGUGAAAUGCGUAGAUAUUAGGAGGAACACCAGUGGCGAAGGCGGCCUGCUGGGCUUUUACUGACGCUGAGGCUCGAAAGUGUGGGGAGCGAACAGGAUUAGAUACCCUCGUAA